rnacentral:lncRNA from 1 species
UUUCCUCCCUCUUUCUCAAGUUUCCAAUUGUGCUGAAUUGGAAGGACUUCAAUGAAGCAGUUCACUGCUUGAUUGCUCAUUGAAGAUGUUAUGGCAUACAGUAGCAGAUGAUGAUGCUUUUUCGGGGAUAAGUGGACUUCAAAUUGUUGGUGAUGCAUUUCCCAGGAUGGGAGAUUAAAGCAUGUGGAUCAUCCAUAGAGCCUGAUUGUAAUUUUGUAAAAAAAAUAUGAAAUAUUUGUGUCAUGUUUUCUUUAUUUGCUAU